ACGGGGGGAGCAAGCGUUGUUCGGAAUCACUGGGCGUAAAGGGCGUGUAGGCGGUCAGAUAAGUGGAAUGUGAAAUGCCCCGGCUCACCCGGGGACCGGCAUCCCAAACUGUCUGGCUUGAGUAUGGGAGAGGAUGGAGGAAUUCCUGGUGUAGCGGUGAAAUGCGUAGAUAUCAGGAGGAACACCGGUGGCGAAGGCGUCCAUCUGGCCCAAUACUGACGCUGAGGCGCGAAAGCUAGGGGAGCGAACGGGAUUAGAUACCCCGGUAGUCCUAGCCGUAAACGGUGAUCACUAGGUGUUGGGGGCAUCGACCCCUCCAGUGCCGCAGCUAACGCACUAAGUGAUCCGCCUGGGGAGUACGGCCGCAAGGUUG
rnacentral:rRNA from 1 species